CUACGGGUUGCAGCAGUGGGGAAUAUUGCACAAUGGAGGAAACUCUGAUGCAGCAACGCCGCGUGGAGGAUGACACUUUUCGGAGCGUAAACUCCUUUUAUAUAGGAAGAAGAUGACGGUACUAUAUGAAUAAGCGCCGGCUAACUCCGUGCCAGCAGCCGCGGUAAUACGGAGGGCGCAAGCGUUACUCGGAAUCACUGGGCGUAAAGAGCGUGUAGGCGGAUUACAAAGUCAGAAGUGAAAUCCUAUAGCUUAACUAUAGAACUGCUUCUGAAAUUCUUAAUCUAGAAUAUGGGAGAGGUAGAUGGAAUUUCUGGUGUAGGGGUAAAAUCCGUAGAGAUCAGAAGGAAUACCGAUUGCGAAGGCGAUCUACUAGAACAUUAUUGACGCUGAGACGCGAAAGCGUGGGGAGCAAACAGGAUUAGAUACCCCGGUAGUC
rnacentral:rRNA from 1 species